UUGGGGCCGUCCGGUUGGUUCGGGGCUCGGCCGAUCCUCCCACCCUUUGUGUACCUACCUCUGUUGCUUUGGCGGGCCGCGGUCCUCCGCGGCCGCCCCCCUCCCCGGGGGGGUGGCCAGCGCCCGCCAGAGGACCAUCAAACUCCAGUCAGUAAACGAUGCAGUCUGAAAAACAUUUAAUAAACUAAAACUUUCAACAACGGAUCUCUUGGUUCUGGCAUCGAUGAAGAACGCAGCGAAAUGCGAUAAGUAAUGUGAAUUGCAGAAUUCAGUGAAUCAUCGAAUCUUUGAACGCACAUUGCGCCCUUUGGUAUUCCGAAGGGCAUGCCUGUUCGAGCGUCAUUACAACCCUCAAGCUCUGCUUGGUAUUGGGCACCGUCCUUUGCGGGCGCGCCUCAAAGACCUCGGCGGUGGCGUCUUGCCUCAAGCGUAGUAGAACAUACAUCUCGCUUCGGAGCGCAGGGCGUCGCCCGCCGGACGAACCUUCUGAACUUUUCUCAAGGUUGACCUCGGAUCAGGUAGGGAUACCCGCUGAACUUAAGCAUAUCAAUAACCGGAGGAA
rnacentral:rRNA from 1 species